rnacentral:tRNA from 2 species
GCGCCUGUAGCUCAGGGGACAGAGCAACGGACUUCUAAUCCGUCGGUCGGAGGUUCGAAUCCUCCCAGGCGCGCCA